AAGAGAUUUCUUCUUGAGGACCAGCUACAUUUGAAAACCACAAUGUGGUUUGAGUUGGAAAGUUCCCCAUCUUAGUGCCACAGAAAUUAAGGAAAAAUCUGGCCAUGAAAUAAGUGAAUUUAGAUUCAAGAGUGGCUUUCUUUCUGUCCCCAGUAAUUUUAGCAUCACGUACAUAAUCUAAUGGAUUCUCUUUCAAUGCAAUAGUGAAAGGAAACAGAACAUAUCCAAUAUGGUUGCCCCACCUCGCUUCACUAUCCUUUCUUGUCAUAUCUUCAAAAGCAGGGAUGCCUGCAGAGGGUCUUAUGUUCAUGAAAAAAGUUGCUCUAAGACGAAUGUUCUUGGGAAGAUUGUUUUUCCCUUUUGCUCCUUCAUCAUCUUUCUGAUGAUCGUCACCAUACUUCCUAUAGAGAUAGCAAGACAAUCCCGCUUGUGUGAUUGCCAUCAUCACAUCAUUGACUGUCGAGCCCAUGGCAUUCUUCACCAGCUUCACAUCAUCCAAACUAAUUGUUCUAUGAACAAACCUUCUAGCAGUUGAUCCAACUGGGGAUGCUCCUUUUAGAGGUGUUUUAGUAUCCUCCAAGAACAAAAUUGUUGCUAGAAAUAUCACCACAUCAACAACAGUAUUCCAACACAGCAACACUAACAUCCAUAGCUUGAGCAAUAAUUGCCAGGACCCACCAUCAGAGUUGUUGGGAAUAUUAUUCCUUCUCUUUACAGUUGGGAGAGUUGGAAGCUCCUUAGGAUUGGAUACUUUGCGAGUACAAGAAAGUAAAAGAGACAUGAGAGAGGUUCCAUCACCAAUGGAAUGGUGGACGCGAAGAAUGCUUGUGGAUUCAGCUUCUGAAGUUUUAACGUUGAGAAUAUGAACAUCCCACAUAGGCAUAGACCUGCUAAUUGUGGUAUUGCUGAGAUUAGAGGCGUAAUCAUCCACAAACUUAUCAGGACAGUCCAUGUUUGAAUCAAGCUUUGGGACUAUUACAUGGUUAUCUAUGUUUAAUUCUGUUCUAACCCAUCUCAUCUCCCCACCAUUUUCCUCGUCCACGACCUGUAAACUAGAGAAACGAGGAUGCUUGAGUAAAGAAUGGCGCAAACUGGCUUUAAAAACAAGAGGGCUGAUUGGGGAAUUAAACCCCAUGAUGAUGAUGAUGUAGACAUCGGAGUAAGGUUGAUGACAGAUGCGAGCCAUUGGACUCAAGGGUUGGCCGUCCUCGCUAUCUUUCUUUGAUACCCGAAUUGGUCUAAGCCCUUCCAUAGUGCUCUUAGGAGGAUAGAAUUGUGCUUGGAUACUAACAAUCAAAAAAUUUGUUUAUAUAGGAUACAAAU
rnacentral:misc_RNA from 1 species